AAGCUCCCUGACUAUGUCGGAAACUUCUCAAGUACUCUGGUAAAUUUCUUUGCCGUAGGAAACAAGUUGUCCGGUGAGAUUCCUUCUACCCUAUCAAAUUUAAGCAACCUCAUUGAGUUAGACCUAUCAGAAAAUCAAUUGACUGGCAAUAUUCCAGAAUCAAUCAUGCUAAUGGACAAGCUCCAAGUUAUUAAUCUCUCUGGAAACAUGAUGUCUGGCACAAUCCCAAGACAAAUAGGUCAUCUAAGGAACCUACAAACACUAUUACUCAAUAACAACAACUUCUCUAGUAACUCCUUGGAAGGUGCAUUGCCAGUUGAUAUAGCGCAGCUAAAUCAUAUUGACACGAUUGAUCUCUCUGCCAACCUGUUGUUUGGUAGGAUCCCUGACUCCUUUUGA
rnacentral:lncRNA from 1 species